rnacentral:rRNA from 1 species
CACGUAGGCACCAAGCGUUGUCCGGAUUUAUUGGGCGUAAAGAGCUCGUAGGCGGUCUGUCGCGUCUGCCGUGAAAACCCGAGGCUUAACCUCGUGGCUUGCGGUGGAUACGGGCAGACUAGAGGUAGGUAGGGGAGAAUGGAAUUCCCGGUGUAGCGGUGAAAUGCGCAGAUAUCGGGAGGAACACCGGUGGCGAAGGCGGUUCUCUGGGCCUU